AAACUACGCGAAUGCUAAUAAUAGCAUUCGUGUCCGCAAAUGUGUUAAGCUCUUUUCCAUAUAAACUGUAAUAGAUGUCAUAUAUUAAAGAAAAAGUGACGAGGUCCUCCAGUCCUCUCUCCAUGUCUUCAGCUCUUUUCCAUACUUUUGAGCAGCAUUUGUUGUUGGUGCCGGGACCGUGUCCGUGACCGUGACGUAUCUGUGACGCAUGCCACUAACCUGCAGGUGCACGGCACAGCCCCGGCCAUCGCCGGCCAGGACCGCGCCAACCCCACCGCCCUGCUGCUCUCCGGCGUCAUGAUGCUGCGCCACGUCGGGCUACACCGCCACGCCGACAGCAUAGAGCGCGCCUGCUUCACCGUGCUGCGCGAGGGGCAGGUGCUCACUGAGGAUCUGGGAGGGAAGAGUACUUGUACCGCGUAUACUAAUGAAAUUAUUAAGAAUUUAGAUUAAGGGGAUUCUAACCUUAAUGUGCAUUUUAAAGUUGGUAAAUAGGUAAGGGAUCAUCCGCAUAUCACGUCGCAGCAACGGGAGGGGGGGGGGGGUCGUGCCAAGUGUGACAGUACGUAUUAACGAUUAAAGACCAUUUUUUUUUUCCUAUGAUAACGUGUGACAAGCGGGGAUAGGAAGGGUCUAAAAGAUCAAAAAUACUUUGUGUCAUGUAAUUUUAUAGACGACCCCUACGAGAAUUGCGGCGCGAAGCUCGGGUUGUGUAGGACUCGGCUGAGAUAUUUUGGCGAGUGUGUUAGUCUCCAGAGGCCCAUAGAGUCCGACCGAGCUAACUCUGCCCGACAGAGUGUGGCGAUGUCAUCAUUAAUGUAAUUUCUCUGUAAAAAAUAUUUCUCUCUAGAAAAUAUAAGUUUAUAAUGACCCUCCCACCCUGUGUUCCGUUUAAGUAGGUGCAGAGUAGACUUGGACGGACGCACCGCGCCAAUUUUUCUACGGGACGGUUCGUUCGGUGUGCAGUUGUGGACCCACCUUUAGGGCCCCUUGCCCCGUUCCCUACCCUGGGGUUAACCGGUUAAACCUUUACAAUGGUUACCAUGGGAUGGUGCAAGUGGCACUUAUUGAGAUAAAUCCAGUGAAAUCUACAAAUGUAUCAAUCCGACCACUGACCGACAAGAACAUACAACAUUCCACUUUGUUUUUUUCAUUCGCGUUGUUGUUACAUUUGUAAAUUUCUUGCCUAUUAAGAUUAAGUCACGAGAAAAUCGAUGGCUAUUAAAUAAAAAUGCAUUUUGAGGUUAAAAUUACCAAACAUACUAGUUUUAAUCAGUGCAUUAAAUUGAUGGUUUGGUCACUGUCAAUGUCGGUGCUUAACAACGUAAGUCUUGACACUAGAAAUUAAAUAUUUCAGAUAUAGUUUAUUAUGAAAUCUCAUCUUAGACCUUAUUAAACUAUGUAUUAAGUGUAAAAACAAGCAUUCAUCUAAAUAGUAUUAAAUUGUCAUUAGACAUAAUAGAUAGUGACCAAAACCGCAACAAUUCAUUACAUUCGAAUAAUAGUUAAAUUGUUGACUAAUACCCAUCAAUUACAUAGAAUAGUGACACAAUAGUAGCGAAUUUAAAACCUUAUUUAUAAAGACAUAAGAAUGAGAUUCUAAUUCAUAUACAUUACUGCCAAAGAAAGUAUUCAGAAUUCAGAGAAUACAAUUUAAUCUGAGAUUAUCUUUAAUAUUGAGAUCUCAUGCAUUUCUUAGGGUGGUAUUCCAACUGGCCAAUUUCAUUGUCCAAUGUGUAUUGCGUCUCACAUUUGCUUAAUGAGAAAGUGGAAAUUGAAAAUAUUGCUGUAGGAGCCACCAAUUGGUCGCUAAAAACUUCAAAAAUGAUUUGUAACUUCAAAAACAAUAUGUUUCAUUUAUUGGUCUACGUUAUCAAAUCAAAUUUGACCAAAAGAUAACAUUUUUCUUAAAAUAUAAAUAUAACCUAAGGUUCCUCUCUAAAAGAUAUUUAAGUUUAAGCUUGACAUUCCGUUAUAUUUCUGACUUGUUUAGGUUAUUUAUUUAUGCACGUUUGUUUAUCAAUAAGUUAGUGAGAUAAUGGCUGUUUUCGAGUAAGUGUCACAAAUUUAUUUUUUCCAUCAAUAAAUUAAAAAUUUGAAUCUUACGAAUGUUAUGUCACCUAACUCGAGGCUCACAACAGAUAUAGAAAAAGAAAGAGAGAAAUGGAGACCUUUGUGACUUUGUGACCUGAAUCAAAAACUUAUACUUGAAAUUGACAUUUCACGGCAAUAAGUAGGUGAAGGAGCUGCCCCCUAUAGUUAGAAAAAUCAUAUAUUUAUAAAAAUAGAAAAAUACCAACUUGAUGGAAAAUAUCAUCAUCAUAUAUUUAAGUUACUCUUGUCGGUGAAGCGAUUUCCAUGUGUGGCGGUCGUCUGCCUUCUCAUUGACAAAAUAUAGAUGGAAAAUAUAGGUUUGUGGAAUAACUAAAGUGUAGGUUUAACUUGUGUUUUGAAACACUUUUUGUUCCUUGUCAAGUAUUAACAAUUUGUAUUUCUUACGUUACCAGUAUAUUGAUGUCUUGGUAUUUCAUUCCAGUAUUUUUUUUAGUUCAGCAUUUUUUACGAUAAUUAUAUUUGUAUUAGCCUAAUAGCUCAAUUUUAAGCUACUGACAAGAAUGAAAUAAUAUAAUACAUAUUUAUAUGUUCUUGUACCGAAAAAUGUAGUAUGAAGACCCAAAUGCCAUUAUUAUAUUUUUUACGUUUAAUUUAUACAGCAUUAGUAUUUAUUUUAUGUUGAAAUGUGAUUCAGAUAAAAUCUGACAAUAAAUGUAAUUUAAGAAUCUUACACCAAUGGAUAAUAUGGAUAUUCUCAUUGCUUUUGCAAAUUGGUCAAUGUGGAAUCGUAUUAGUGUUUAUUUAUUUAUGUAAAUAAAAUAUA